rnacentral:misc_RNA from 1 species
AACCUUAUGGACCUGCGGGCGUAUACCUGCGGAAGGAUCAUUAUCAAAACAGCGGCCUUCGGGCCUUGCUGCACCCUUGUCUUUUGCGCACCGUAUUGAUUCCUCGGCGGGCUUGCCUGCCGGUUGGACAUUAUCAAACCUUUUUGUAGUUGCAAUCAGCGUCAGAAAAACAAUAAUUAUUACAACUUUCAACAACGGAUCU